AAGUCGUAACAAGGUUUCCGUAGGUGAACCUGCGGAAGGAUCAUUAAAAACUUUUAUCCAGGAAUUCGUUUCGUCUUCCCGGAUUAUUUGUAUUCAAAUCCCACUCUUUAUAAAUAUAUCAAUUAUAUAAAACAAAAAAUAAAAAAAGAAAACUUUCAACAACGGAUCUCUUGGCUCUC
rnacentral:misc_RNA from 1 species